AGAACGAACGCUGGCGGCAGGCCUAACACAUGCAAGUCGAACGCGACCUUCGGGUCGAGUGGCGCACGGGUGAGUAACGCGUGGGAAUCUGCCCUGUGGUACGGAAUAACAUCGGGAAACUGGUGCUAAUACCGUAUAUCCCCUGAGGGGGAAAGAUUUAUCGCCAUGGGAGGAGCCCGCGUAGGAUUAGCUAGUUGGUGGGGUAACGGCCUACCAAGGCGACGAUCCUUAGCUGGUCUGAGAGGAUGAUCAGCCACACUGGGACUGAGACACGGCCCAGACUCCUACGGGAGGCAGCAGUGGGGAAUAUUGGACAAUGGGGAAACCCUGAUCCAGCCAUGCCGCGUGUGUGAUGAAGGCCUUCGGGUUGUAAAGCACUUUCGCACGUGACGAUGAUGACGGUAACGUGAGAAGAAGCCCCGGCUAACUUCGCGCCAGCAGCCGC
rnacentral:rRNA from 1 species